rnacentral:tRNA from 1 species
GGCGCUUUGACAGAGAUGGUUCUAUUGCGCCGGCCCGAAAAGCCGGUGAUCGGGGUCCGAUUCCCCGGGGCGCCGCCA